AAGGUUUUUAGUUUAAUACACUAAAGAAUUGACGUUACUCGCAGAAUAAGCACCGGCUAACUCUGUGCCAGCAGCCGCGGUAAUACAGGAGGGUGCAAGCGUUAAUCGGAAUUACUGGGCGUAAAGCGCGCGUAGGCGGUUUGUUAAGUCGGAUGUGAAAUCCCUCGGGCUCAACCUAGGCACUGCAUCCGAUACUGGCUAACUAGAGUGUGGAGAGGAAGGUAGAAUUCCAGGUGUAGCGGUGAAAUGCGUAGAGAUCUGGAGGAAUACCGAUGGCGAAGGCAGCCUUCUGGCCUAACACUGACGCUGAGGUGCGAAAGCAUGGGGAGCAAACAGGAUUAGAUACCCUGGUAGUCCAUGCUGUAAACGAUGUCAACUAGCCGUUGGGGACCUUGAGUCUUUAGUGGCGCAGCUAACGCGAUAAGUUGACCGCCGUGGGGAGUACGGUCGCAAGAACUAAAACUACAAAUGAAUUGACGGGGG
rnacentral:rRNA from 1 species